GAUGAACGCUGGCGGCGUGCCUAAUACAUGCAAGUCGAGCGAACAGAUGAGGAGCUUGCUCCUCUGACGUUAGCGGCGGACGGGUGAGUAACACGUGGAUAACCUACCUAUAAGACUGGGAUAACUUCGGGAAACCGGAGCUAAUACCGGAUAAUAUAUUGAACCGCAUGGUUCAAUAGUGAAAGACGGUUUUGCUGUCACUUAUAGAUGGAUCCGCGCCGCAUUAGCUAGUUGGUAGGGUAACGGCUUACCAAGGCGACGAUGCGUAGCCGACCUGAGAGGGUGAUCGGCCACACUGGAAGUGAGACACGGUCCAGACUCCUACGGGAGGCAGCAGUAGGGAAUCUUCCGCAAUGGGCGAAAGCCUGACGGAGCAACGCCGCGUGAGUGAUGAAGGUCUUCGGAUCGUAAAACUCUGUUAUUAGGGAAGAACAAAUGUGUAAGUAACUAUGCACGUCUUGACGGUACCUAAUCAGAAAGCCACGGCUAACUACGUG
rnacentral:rRNA from 1 species